UACGUAGGGUGCAAGCGUUGUCCGGAAUUAUUGGGCGUAAAGAGCUCGUAGGCGGUCUGUCGCGUCUGCUGUGAAAACUCAGGGCUUAACCCUGAGCUUGCAGUGGGUACGGGCAGACUAGAGUGCGGUAGGGGAGACUGGAAUUCCUGGUGUAGCGGUGAAAUGCGUAGAGAUCGGGAAGAACAUCGGUGGCGAAGGCGGUCUGCUGGGCCGUUGCUGACGCUGAGGCGCGACAGCGUGGGGGAGCAAACAGG
rnacentral:rRNA from 1 species